AACCCUCACUGCAGGUGAAACUCUUCAUCUAUAGAGGUGCAUGGGGGAGGAAAAUGUAAUGCCCUGAGCCAGAUGGUUUUCAUCUUGUUUUUUAAAGAAGAAAGGAACAAGCUAACAAGGGGACAGCUACUUUGUUAGCUUCUUGGCCUCUCUCAUGGCUUCGGAUCCCCAGGGUUCCAGCCACACAAGAGAAAGAAUACAGAAAAACAUAAACACUUAAAGAAAUAUAACUAGGGGGCUGGCAACACGCUGCUUUCAAAGAGUUGAGAGCCCUGUUCAGCGCUUUAUUUAUCACUGCCCACGUUCUUCGGAUGUGUAAAAGAAGAGCUAACCCUGCGAGCAUUACAGACCUGGUACGUACGUCCUCGACAUCUCCCUUGGGGAAGGGAGGAGGCUGAAGCCCCUCACUCCGUGCAACCAUCCCUAUUCAGGGGGACAGCAGAAACACUUCUGGAGAACUUCGGUGUGUGCCCGGAGAAGAGCCCCAGGCAGCGGGAUGAGGCCGCUGCUGCCAGCAAACAGCUUUUUGUCUGUGCUUUGCUUUGCCCUACCUUCUCUGCCUGCUUUCUGCUUCUUCCAGUUGGCUCGUGUAUUGACUCCAAACCCUUACGAGCAGCGUGCCUCUACUUUAACACCGCAACAGCGCCUAGAGCACGUUUGAGGUGCCAGCACCUCCCCACGAGGCCACCUUCGCCUCGGCUUCCCCCCGCAGAACAAACCGAAAGGCACUUCAUUAUUGCUCGGCUGAAGAGAAGGGAGGGCAGGGUUUUAAACAAGCUGCAUUGUGGCCGUCUUCUUUAAAAACCAGCGGGGUAAUCAAGUUCAGGGCAGCCCCGGACAGCUGCCCUGUGACCUAUUCAUGUUGACCCCCGCUAUUCAUCACUUUCCUCAGGACUAUGAGGGCAAGCUCCCGGGGAGUGACCACCACAAUAGACAGAUACGAGCCAACAAUAAUACGGUUCCUGCAAAAAAAAAAAAAAAAAAAAGGCAAAAAACAGAUGGCACCGCAAUAAAUUUACAAAUCUGCAUUCAUGGCUCUGUUAAAAACACCCAGAAGCUAAAAGGCUGGAGGGGCCCCCAGAGAGCUUCCCCUGCCCGGUUUCUAAAGGCCGGCUCUCUCCCCAAGACUAUUGAGCUCGUGUUCUUCAUAAAUGAAGAAUGGAGACAUAGCCCUUAAAAUAACAAAUGCCUGACCUAAUCAAUCUAGUGUUUGGGCCUAACACUAACUGAUAGGCACUGAAAACUAAUUAUGUUUUUUGGCAAGGAAGUUGAAUUAAAAUGGAAACACACAGGUUAAAAAGGCACUGAAGCAUUUGCGAGUCCCUUUGAAAGGGCGGCACACACACACACACACACACACACACACACGCUCACACGCAGGGCUUGAAACAGGAACCUGAUUCAAUAACUCAUGCAUUUAUUUUUAAAAUGAAUCAGAUUAGUCCCAUGUGUGACCUGCCGGUCCAUCUGUAUGAGCCGGACUUAAUGGGCACUCUUCUCACGCUUACUUCAGUUUGAAGUAUGAGAGAGAUAAAUUUAGUUUAAUUUUCAACAGAUCAAGCUAUCCAUUUUCCAAAUGGACCAUCUGGAUCAGCCUAUUAAAAUUAAUUUAUAACUUUGCAGUGUGAAAAUUCGUUUGUUAGCUUAAAUAAAGUUGCCAAAAACUUUUGCCACUUGUCAUUGUUUUUUCUGACGUCUGUUUUCAUACUGUGAUUUUCAGUUUUCCCCUUCAAAAUUUAAUUUUGUCAGAUCGAGCACUCAACAAGAACUGAACAUUUGCAUCCGUACUUCCAAAUCUGUCAUAGCUUAGAUCUUUUUACUCUUCCAGCUCAGUGUCAAGUUCAUUGCCUGUUCCUGUUUCCUUUCCCAGUGCUGAUCUCCGCAUCUCUUCUGCCUUGCUGCCCCUCACCAACCUCUGAGCAGCCGUGCCUCUUCCUGCCAGCACGCUAAGGACACGGCUCCACUUGUUGAGACUUCUGAAGAUAUCCUCCUACAAAAGCCAUUACAGUCAACAGAAAAAUUACAUUUCUUCUAGAGAGGUCCAUCGCACUAAGUUAUGGGGGUCUUCAGCCUCUGCUUACAACUUCAGAAGCCUAAGUAACCAUCGCACCUUUUUAUUACCUCCAUCUUCUACUACAUCUGUUCCACAAACCUACCUGAGGAAACAUUUAUGGCCCUGGCUAAUGCCUAACUAAUCAAAAAUGACUAAAUACAUGGACAAUUUCACUAGAAAGGCAGUUUAAGCAGACGGACUUCCCCCUCUCUCCACACAUACACAUUCAAUUCUUCUGCGCAGGUAGGUCCACGUUUCCCAAUAAUGAAAUUUUAACAGCAGUGUCUUAAGGGAGGGACAGAAAAUAUGAAGUCGUACACUCAAUAUUUACCAAGUUAGCAUCUUUCCACUAAGGUACUAGUACCGCACUCAGCACUUUUUGAGUAUUACUGCUUUGACAGCAUUUGCAGGACAGAUCUUUUUGGUUUUACAAAAUAUGCGCAGAUGUGAGACAGGGUAAUCACUCCUUCCUCUAGGAGAUGCAGAUCUUUCCAUUAAGCAUCACUUUUACUCAUUGAUUAGGAAGGAAAAAAGCACAUGUAUCUGUGUCUGAUUUCUUCCUCUACAGUUGGAAAAUUCCCAACUUGUUCUUGUCCAUCAUUAAUAGGGAAAAAGGAGCAAUAUGAGCUUCCAAAAUGCUUUGAUAGUUUCUAUCGAUGCCUACACAAAGAAUCUAAAUUCCUUCUACAACACGCGCAAAAUCUCGGGCAACCACCUCAUGUGAUAUAGACAAGAAGGUACUUGCUUUAAG